GCCUCAGUAGUGUAAUGGAAAGAAUGGCAGACCUGAUAUCUGUAAGUGAGGGUACGAGUCCCGCCUGAUGUU
rnacentral:tRNA from 1 species